rnacentral:lncRNA from 1 species
CCUUGCUCUUCCAACUGUCAUUCUGGUCCUGCCAGUCAACUUUAGAAUUCCAAAAUCCUCCAACUCCAUCUUAACAAGGGGAAGAAUAUUAUUAUUAGAAGGAGAGGAAGAGAGUGCUAAAAGUCCUAUGAUAACCCAGAUCUUCUCCAUUGUCAGAAUCAUGCCCAAAUUCAUACCUGUUGUAUUCUUCUGGAUCAGCACCUUCAGUUUGAUCUUCACAAUGAAGACCAUCAUAAGCCUCUUCCUCCUUUCCUUUGUCUUGACUGUCAACAGUCAGAAUGAAGCUAGAAAGUGGUUUGGUGAAGUUAUAAUGGGGAUUCCACAUUUAAAAGCAACAUCCAGAAAGAUGAUGCUGCAGGCCGAUGCUUCCAUUAAUCUGUUUAGUACACAAAUGGCAGGAACCUUGACUCCUAAGCUGGCUUUGCUCCUUGAUAACUCCUCUACAUAGCUUGUGAGCUUCUCCUGGAGUAACCCUUCUUCCUUGCUCCCCCAACCUACUAUUGCAUGUUGCAUUUAAUAAACAUCAGUGCUGAACAUAAACUUUCCUUAAU